rnacentral:snRNA from 1 species
GUGCUCACUUCGACAGCAUAUAUACUAAAAUUGGAACGAUACAGAGAAGAUUAGCAGGGUCCCUGUGCAAGGAUGACAUGCACAUUCGUGAAAUGUUCCAUUUUUUA